GUCGAGAAUCUUCCGCAAUGCGCGAAAGCGUGACGGAGCGACACCGCGUGAUGGAUGAAGUCCUUCGGGGCGUAAACAUCUUUUAUAAAGGAGGAAAUUUUUGACGUUACUUUAUGAAUAAGGGGCUCCCAAUCUCGUGCCAGCAGGAGCGGUAAUACGAGAGCCUCAAGCGUUAUCCGGAAUCAUUGGGCGUAAAGGGUGCGUAGGUGGUUUGAUUAGUCUCCCGUUAAAACUUCGAGCUUAACUCGAAAAGAGCUGGGGAAACGGUCAAACUAGAGUAUGGGAGAGGUGUGUGGAACUCAUGGUGUAGGGGUGAAAUCCGUUGAUAUCAUGGGGAACACCAAAAGCGAAGGCAGCACACUGGCACAUCACUGACACUGAGGCACGAAACCUAAGGUAGCGAAUGGGAUUAGAUACCCGUGUAGUCC
rnacentral:rRNA from 1 species